GUUUCGGCAACACCUACACUAAAAUUGGGACAAUACACAGAAGGCCGGCAUGGCUGCCGUGCAAGGAUGACAUGCAAAGGUGUGCAGCAUUCCGUGUUUUU
rnacentral:snRNA from 1 species